CCCUUAGAUGUUCUGGGCCGCACGCGCGCUACACUGACUACUUCAACGAGUUGUUUCCUUGAUCGAAAGGUCUGGGUAAUCUUUGAAAGGUAGUCGUGAUGGGGAUAGAUCCUUGCAAUUUUUGAUCUUCAACGAGGAAUUCCUAGUAAACGCAAGUCAUCAGCUUGCAUUGAUUACGUCCCUGCCCUUUGUACACACCGCCCGUCGCACCUACCGAUUGAAUGGUCCGGUGAAUCUUUAGGACUGUGGCUGAGGCCUUGCCUUGUGCGGGUCUGGCCGUGGGAAUUUAGUUAAACCUUACCAUUUAGAGGAAGGCGAAGUCGUAACA
rnacentral:rRNA from 1 species